AGACCCGAAACCCGGUGAUCUAGCCAUGGGCAGGUUGAAGGUUGGGUAACACUAACUGGAGGACCGAACCGACUAAUGUUGAAAAAUUAGCGGAUGACCUGUGGCUGGGGGUGAAAGGCCAAUCAAACCGGGAGAUAGCUGGUUCUCCCCGAAAGCUAUUUAGGUAGCGCCUCGUGAAUUCAUCUCCGGGGGUAGAGCACUGUUUCGGCUAGGGGGCCAUCCCGGCUUACCAACCCGAUGCAAACUGCGAAUACCGGAGAAUGUUAUCACGGGAGACACACGGCGGGUGCUAACGUCCGUCGUGAAGAGGGAAACAACCCAGACCGCCAGCUAAGGUCCCAAAGUCAUGGUUAAGUGGGAAACGAUGUGGGAAGGCCCAGACAGCCAGGAUGUUGGCUUAGAAGCAGCCAUCAUUUAAAGAAAGCGUAAUAGCUCACUGGUCGAGUCGGCCUGCGCGGAAGAUGUAACGGGGCUAAACCAUGCACCGAAGCUGCGGCAGCGAACGUAUCACUUAAAGCGAUUCAGCGGGUUACGAUUGACGGAGCGAAGCGACGUCAAAGCGUAUACAAAGUCGAGUCGGUUUAAGGAUACGUUCGUUGGGUAGGGGAGCGUUCUGUAAGCCUGUGAAGGUGGCCUGUGAGGGUUGCUGGAGGUAUCAGAAGUGCGAAUGCUGACAUAAGUAACGAUAAAGCGGGUGAAAAGCCCGCUCGCCGGAAGACCAAGGGUUCCUGUCCAACGUUAAUCGGGGCAGGGUGAGUCGACCCCUAAGGCGAGGCCGAAAGGCGUAGUCGAUGGGAAACGGGUUAAUAUUCCCGUACUUGGUGUUACUGCGAAGGGGGGACGGAGAAGGCUAUGUUGGCCGGGCGACGGUUGUCCCGGUUUAAGCGUGUAGGUGUGUGUUCCAGGUAAAUCCGGUUCACUUUAACACUGAGGCGUGAUGACGAGGCACUACGGUGCUGAAGCAACAAAUGCCCUGCUUCCAGGAAAAGCCUCUAAGCAUCAGGUAACAUCAAAUCGUACCCCAAACCGACACAGGUGGUCAGGUAGAGAAUACCAAGGCGCUUGAGAGAACUCGGGUGAAGGAACUAGGCAAAAUGGUGCCGUAACUUCGGGAGAAGGCACGCUGACACGUAGGUGAAGUGAUUUACUCAUGGAGCUGAAGUCAGUCGAAGAUACCAGCUGGCUGCAACUGUUUAUUAAAAACACAGCACUGUGCAAACACGAAAGUGGACGUAUACGGUGUGACGCCUGCCCGGUGCCGGAAGGUUAAUUGAUGGGGUCAGCGCAAGCGAAGCUCCUGAUCGAAGCCCCGGUAAACGGCGGCCGUAACUAUAACGGUCCUAAGGUAGCGAAAUUCCUUGUCGGGUAAGUUCCGACCUGCACGAAUGGCGUAAUGAUGGCCAGGCUGUCUCCACCCGAGACUCAGUGAAAUUGAACUCGCUGUGAAGAUGCAGUGUACCCGCGGCAAGACGGAAAGACCCCGUGAACCUUUACUAUAGCUUGACACUGAACAUUGAGCCUUGAUGUGUAGGAUAGGUGGGAGGCUUUGAAGUGUGGACGCCAGUCUGCAUGGAGCCGACCUUGAAAUACCACCCUUUAAUGUUUGAUGUUCUAACGUGGACCCGUGAUCCGGGUUGCGGACAGUGUCUGGUGGGUAGUUUGACUGGGGCGGUCUCCUCCUAAAGAGUAACGGAGGAGCACGAAGGUUGGCUAAUCCUGGUCGGACAUCAGGAGGUUAGUGCAAUGGCAUAAGCCAGCUUGACUGCGAGCGUGACGGCGCGAGCAGGUGCGAAAGCAGGUCAUAGUGAUCCGGUGGUUCUGAAUGGAAGGGCCAUCGCUCAACGGAUAAAAGGUACUCCGGGGAUAACAGGCUGAUACCGCCCAAGAGUUCAUAUCGACGGCGGUGUUUGGCACCUCGAUGUCGGCUCAUCACAUCCUGGGGCUGAAGUAGGUCCCAAGGGUAUGGCUGUUCGCCAUUUAAAGUGGUACGCGAGCUGGGUUUAGAACGUCGUGAGACAGUUCGGUCCCUAUCUGCCGUGGGCGCUGGAGAACUGAGGGGGGCUGCUCCUAGUACGAGAGGACCGGAGUGGACGCAUCACUGGUGUUCGGGUUGUCAUGCCAAUGGCACUGCCCGGUAGCUAAAUGCGGAAGAGAUAAGUGCUGAAAGCAUCUAAGCACGAAACUUGCCCCGAGAUGAGUUCUCCCUGAGACUUAGAGUCUCCUGAAGGAACGUUGAAGACGACGACGUUGAUAGGCCGGGUGUGUAAGCGCAGCGAUGCGUUGAGCUAACCGGUACUAAUGAACCGUGAGGCUUAACCUUACA
rnacentral:rRNA from 1 species